rnacentral:rRNA from 1 species
UUCCGGUUGAUCCUGCCGGAGGCCAUUGCUAUCGGAGUUCGAUUUAGCCAUGCUAGUCGCACGGGUUUAGACCCGUGGCGAAAAGCUCAGUAACACGUGGCCAAACUACCCUAUGGAUCAGAAUAACCUCGGGAAACUGAGGACAAUUCUGAAUACCGCUCCUGCACUGGGAUGUGCGGAGCUCCAAACGCUACGGCGCCAUAGGAUGUGGCUGCGGCCGAUUAGGUUGACGGUGGGGUAACGGCCCACCGUGCCCAUAAUCGGUACGGGUUGUGAGAGCAAGAGCCCGGAGACGGUAUCUGAGACAAGAUACCGGGCCCUACGGGGCGCAGCAGGCGCGAAACCUUUACACUGCACGACAGUGCGAUAAGGGAACUCCGAGUGCGAGGGCAUAGAGCCCUCGCUUUUGUACACCGUAAGGUGGUGUUCGAAUAAGGGCUGGGCAAGACCGGUGCCAGCCGCCGCGGUAAUACCGGCAGCCCAAGUGAUGGCCGAUAUUAUUGGGCCUAAAGCGUCCGUAGCUGGCCGGACAAGUCCGUUGGGAAAUCCGCGCGCUUAACGCGCGGGCGUCCAGCGGAAACUGUCCGGCUUGGGGCCGGAAGACCUGAGGGGUACGUCCGGGGUAGGAGUGAAAUCCUGUAAUCUCGGACGGACCGCCUGUGGCGAAAGCGCCUCAGGAAGACGGACCCGACAGUGAGGGACGAAAGCCAGGGUCUCGAACCGGAUUAGAUACCCGGGUAGUCCUGGCUGUAAACGAUGUCCGCUAGGUGUGACGCAGGCUACGGGCCUGCGCUGUGCCGUAGGGAAGCCGUGAAGCGGACCGCCUGGGAAGUACGUCUGCAAGGAUGAAACUUAAAGGAAUUGGCGGGGGAGCACUACAACCGGAGGAGCCUGCGGUUUAAUUGGAUUCAACGCCGG